rnacentral:lncRNA from 1 species
CUUUUGCUUAUGAAAAAAUGAUGAAAGUUUCUAUUUUGUUUUACCUAUACGAUGUUGUAUAUGCCUUGACUUAUUGCUCUCUAUAAUAUGGACUUAAAUUGAUUUAAAUAUUGACUCUUUUAAUUGUGGAGGUUAAAUGACUAUAUUCUAGACCCACAUUCAUUCAGUUGCUCUCUAAUUUAAGUUUACUAAUGACCUGAUAACUUGUCUUGCUUUUAUUGAAACAUUAAUUCUUAUGCUAUCUACAUUCAUGAAUCUCUUGUGAAGUUCU